rnacentral:pre_miRNA from 1 species
AACAUACUCCCUCCGUCCCAAAAUUCUUGUCUUAAAUUUGUCUAAAUACGGAUGUAUCAAUUCAUGUUUUAGUAUUAGAUACAUCCGUAUCUAGAUGAGGGAUGAAGGGAGUACAUC